CUCAUCUCCUUCUUUCUCUCUCGUACAUAUUCUUCCCUUCAUUUUCCUUUGAAUUUUGAGAACCCAAACCGAGGCAACAACCUAGGAGAUUAAAGGUGGGAGCUUAGAAACUUAGUUCAACCAUUGAAGAGGGUUUAAUCUCAAGUUUGAGGUGACCGCUAAAGGACUAAAAGUUGAUCGUUCUCAAGGGUCGUUCUUUUAAUCAUUCUACCUCGAAUCUGAGGUAAAGGCAAAAGAAAGCUGGACCAUCCUUGAGUUGGAGAGCUUAGGUGAUGACGUGUACAUAUGCAGCUGCUCAUCCGCCACGGCCGAGGUUUAAAGGGGAACUAGGGUGAAACCCUAUUUUCCCGCAUAGAUCGGCCUGUUGUAAAUAUUUUCUUGUAGCAAACUCUGAAAUUAUAAUUUUGGGAUCCCAAUAUAUAUAUUAGAUGUUCUAAUGAAACAUUAUAUCUUAUCCAAAAAUUUUAAUCCCUAAACCGCUAAUGAUACUUAGUUACACGAUUUUGGCCAAAUGACUCAAUUAGCGAGUUUAGCACUGUUUACAAGGCACACCGUAACGGUCCUUGGAGUUGGGGCGUUACAUUUUUGUUUAAACUUUCUCUGUUUUGUUAGAGUUUUGGAAUUGGAACUUAGGUGAUUGAAUUUAGGAUAUGAUGAGGCUUUCUGUUGGAUUUCUGGAUGUUAAAACUAGUUAUGUUGUUUGGAUAUGAAUCCUAGGAGAAAUUCUAGGAUUAAGGCUUGGAAUUAGUAAGUUUCAGGGAGGUUAGCUUAUUAAAAUGAAUGGGAAAUCUGGGUUUGGAGGCUCGAGCCGCAGCCCUAUUCUUCAAGCGCUGUGGCCCGUGUGUGUCGAAGAGGCUGGAAAGCCUCUGUUUGCCUAGGUGCGUCGCGGCGCAAGGUAUAGUGCACCACGACCCAUGUCCCUCAGUAGAGAGGCAUUUUUGCCUCUGACUUGAGCGCGUCGUAGCCCUUAAGGGGCUGGGUCGCGGCUCAAAUACAAGAUAUUGGCUGUUUGAAGGAUUUUAGCUCGGGAACCCAAAUGUUAAGGCUCGGGAAAAAUUUUACCACCCGAUUUGGUAGAAUCCAA